UACAGAGGGUGCGAGCGUUAAUCGGAAUUACUGGGCGUAAAGGGCGCGUAGGCGGGCUAAUAAGUUAGAUGUGAAAUCCCUGGGCUUAACCUAGGAACUGCAUCUAAUACUGUUAGUCUGGAGUGCGGUAGAGGGUAGUGGAAUUUCCGGUGUAGCGGUGAAAUGCGUAGAUAUCGGAAGGAACACCAGUGGCGAAGGCGGCUACCUGGACUGACACUGACGCUGAGGCGCGAAAGCGUGGGGAGCAAACAGG
rnacentral:rRNA from 1 species